rnacentral:rRNA from 1 species
UACGGAGGAUGCGAGCGUUAUCCGGAUUUAUUGGGUUUAAAGGGUGCGUAGGCGGGCAUUUAAGCCGGCGGUCAAAUGUCGGGGCUCAACCCCGGCCUGCCGUCGGAACUGGGGGCCUUGAGUGCGGCGGAGGCAUGCGGAAUGCGCGGUGUAGCGGUGAAAUGCAUAGAUAUCGCGCAGAACUCCGAUUGCGAAGGCAGCAUACCGGCGCCCAACUGACGCUGAAGCACGAAAGCGUGGGUAUCGAACAGG